GCCAGCAUGGUGUAGUGGUUUCAUGUAGGACUACAGCUCUGGAAGCCAGGGUUCGAUUCCCAGCUUGGCC